CGGGGCGUAGCGCAGCCUGGUAGCGCAUCUGGUUUGGGACCAGAGGGUCGUAGGUUCGAAUCCUAUCGCCCCGACCA
rnacentral:tRNA from 25 species